rnacentral:lncRNA from 1 species
CAAGAGAGGCCUGGAAAUUGAAGAAGGGUUGUGCAUCCUUGCUUCUUCUGAACAAAUGCAACCUAUACACACGAUACGCCUUAUAGAACACAGAAUACAAUACACACGCUUAUGCACAGAAGAGGGAUAGAGGCUUGAAAAAUUAAGCGCAGCUGAACAGACCCCCCUCUGGUGUCGUCUUCUCCAGCGGUUUCCUAUCUUCUCCAAACGACCUACUUCGUUCAAUACACGAGAGAGAUACAAGAGGGGCGAAGGGAAGCAGGGGUUGGGAAAUCGACAGUAAAAACACCAUUGGACCUUCCUCUUCCUGCCAAUUUUCAGUCGCGCACACACAUACAGAGAGUCGAACAUAAGAGUUUCUGGUGUCCAUUUUCAUUCAUGGAUUUUGUGUGGAGCUCUGUUGUUGUAGCAUGGUUCAGUUGUGUUGCUCGAGGACGAGGUUCGUGGUUUAGUGUCCGAUUUGCUGUCGUCUUUGUUCGGACUGUCGCCAUUUGAGGCGAAGGUCAUUAUUUGGUUCAAGGUUUUCUUCUUCCUCCAUUUCUCUUUGUUCUUCUUAUGUGAUAAAUUGAUGCUUCAGUUGUGACAUAAAUUUAAUGUGAAUCUGGAAUUUAUGUUUGCCUAAUUCUGUACAUCUAAUCCUCUGUAGUUUGUUUUUUUGAUUUUUCG